AAGUUCUAGGAUAAAAACACAGUUCUGGUUGGUUGUCCAGACGUAUCUUUUAUAAAAUAUAAAAUAUAUCAGUAACCUUUCCCUUUGGUUUGCCCAUUCCUAGUAAAUAAAAU
rnacentral:ncRNA from 1 species